UAACGCGUGGGAAUCUGCCUAUCAGUGGGGAAUAACGACGGGAAACUGUCGCUAAUACCGCAUACGCCCUUAGGGGGAAAGAUUUAUCGCUGAUAGAUGAGCCCGCGUACGAUUAGCUAGUUGGUGAGGUAAUGGCUCACCAAGACUACGAUCGUUAGCUGGUCUGAGAGGAUGAUCAGCCACACUGGGACUGAGACACGGCCCAGACUCCUACGGGAGGCAGCAGUGGGGAAUAUUGGACAAUGGGCGAAAGCCUGAUCCAGCAAUGCCGCGUGAGUGAUGAAGGCCUUAGGGUUGU
rnacentral:rRNA from 1 species